UACGAGGGGUGCAAGCGUUGCUCGGAAUUAUUGGGCGUAAAGGGUAGGUAGGUGGUCUCAUUUGUCAGGGGUGAAAGCCUUGGGCUUAACCCAAGAAGUGCCUCUGAAACGGUGAGACUGGAGUCUUGGAGAGGGUCGUGGAAUUCCCGGUGUAGCGGUGAAAUGCGUAGAGAUCGGGAGGAACACCAGCGGCGAAGGCGGCGACCUGGACAAGUACUGACACUCAACUACGAAAGCGUGGGUAGCAAACAGG
rnacentral:rRNA from 1 species